rnacentral:rRNA from 1 species
GAAAGGCCCUGCUUGCAGGGUACUCGAGUGGCGAACGGGUGAGUAACACGUGGGUGAUCUGCCCUGCACUUCGGGAUAAGCCUGGGAAACUGGGUCUAAUACCGGAUAGGAGCCAUUUUUAGUGUGAUGGUUGGAAAGUUUUUUCGGUGUAGGAUGAGCUCGCGGCCUAUCGGCUUGUUGGUGGGGUAAUGGCCUACCAAGGCGGCGACGGGUAGCCGGCCUGAGAGGGUGGACGGCCACAUUGGGACUGAGAUACGGCCCAGACUCCUACGGGAGGCAGCAGUGGGGAAUAUUGCACAAUGGGCGCAAGCCUGAUGCAGCGACGCCGCGUGGGGGAUGACGGCCUUCGGGUUGUAAACUCCUUUCGCUAGGGACGAAGCUUUUUGUGACGGUACCUAGAUAAGAAGCACCGGCUAACUACGUGCCAGCAGCCGCGGUAAUACGUAGGGUGCGAGCGUUGUCCGGAAUUACUGGGCGUAAAGGGCUCGUAGGUGGUUUGUCGCGUCGUCUGUGAAAUUCCGGGGCUUAACUCCGGGCGUGCAGGCGAUACGGGCAUAACUUGAGUACUGUAGGGGUAACUGGAAUUCCUGGUGUAGCGGUGAAAUGCGCAGAUAUCAGGAGGAACACCGAUGGCGAAGGCAGGUUACUGGGCAGUUACUGACGCUGAGGAGCGAA